AGCAAUUAUACAGCGAAACUGCGAAUGGCUCAUUAUAUAAGUUAUCGUUUAUUUGAUAGUACCUUACUACUUGGAUAACCGUGGUAAUUCUAGAGCUAAUACAUGCUAAAAAUCCCGACUUCGGAAGGGAUGUAUUUAUUAGAUUAAAAACCAAUGCCCUCUGGGCUCUUUGGUGAUUCAUGAUAACUUUUCGAAUCGCACGGCCUUGCGCCGGCGAUGGUUCAUUCAAAUUUCUUCCCUAUCAACUUUCGAUGUUUGGGUAUUGGCCAAACAUGGUUGCAACGGGUAACGGAGGGUUAGGGCUCGACCCCGGAGAAGGAGCCUGAGAAACGGCUACUACAUCCAAGGAAGGCAGCAGGCGCGCAAAUUACCCAAUCCCGACACGGGGAGGUAGUGACAAUAAAUACUGAUACAGGGCUCUUUUGGGUCUUGUAAUUGGAAUGAGUACAAUUUAAAUCCCUUAACGAGGAACAAUUGGAGGGCAAGUCUGGUGCCAGCAGCCGCGGUAAUUCCAGCUCCAAUAGCGUAUAUUAAAGUUGUUGUGGUUAAAAAGCUCGUAGUUGAACCUUGGGCCUGGCUGGCCGGUCCGCCUCACCGCGUGUACUGGUCCGGCCGGGCCUUUCCCUCUGUGGAACCUCAUGCCCUUCACUGGGUGUGACGGGGAAACAGGACUUUUACUUUGAAAAAAUUAGAGUGCUCCAGGCAGGCCUAUGCUCGAAUACAUUAGCAUGGAAUAAUGAAAUAGGACGUGUGGUUCUAUUUUGUUGGUUUCUAGGACCGCCGUAAUGAUUAAUAGGGACAGUCGGGGGCAUCAGUAUUCAAUUGUCAGAGGUGAAAUUCUUGGAUUUAUUGAAGACUAACUACUGCGAAAGCAUUUGCCAAGGAUGUUUUCAUUAAUCAGGAACGAAAGUUAGGGGAUCGAAGACGAUCAGAUACCGUCGUAGUCUUAACCAUAAACUAUGCCGACUAGGGAUCGGACGAUGUUAUUUUUUGACGCGUUCGGCACCUUACGAGAAAUCAAAGUGCUU
rnacentral:rRNA from 1 species